UUCCAAUAAUGUGUUAGAUGGGUUGAACGUGUUUGAUGGAACUAAUGAUCAUUACUUCCACACGGGGUCAAGGGGUCACCACUCGGUGUGGGAUUCUCGCCUUUUUAAUUAUGGAAGCUGGGAAGUACUGAGGUAUCUUCUUUCAAAUGCAAGAUGGUGGCUUGAGGAGUAUAAGUUUGAUGGGUACAGAUUUGAUGGUGUGACUUCAAUGAUGUACAAAAUUUCCUUGAUUAAGUAAAUGUAUUAUUUAUUUGAUUAAGAAAAUGCAUUGUAUGUUUUAUUAUCUUGCAUAUGUAUUAUUUAUUUUAGUUUUGAUUCUAAAUUUUUAUUUUUACUUAAGAGUUCUAACUUUUGGAUUUCAAUUGUGUUAUUAAUUUAUUA